GAUGAACGCUAGCUACAGGCUUAACACAUGCAAGUCGAGGGGAAACGACAUCGAAAGCUUGCUUUUGAUGGGCGUCGACCGGCGCACGGGUGAGUAACGCGUAUCCAACCUGCCCACCACUUGGGGAUAACCUUGCGAAAGUAAGACUAAUACCCAAUGAUAUCUCUAGAAGACAUCUGAAAGAGAUUAAAGAUUUAUCGGUGAUGGAUGGGGAUGCGUCUGAUUAGCUUGUUGGCGGGGUAACGGCCCACCAAGGCGACGAUCAGUAGGGGUUCUGAGAGGAAGGUCCCCAACAUUGGAACUGAGACACGGUCCAAACUCCGACGGGAGGCAGCAGUGAGGAAUAUUGGGCAAUGGGCGAGAGCCUGAACCAGCCAAGUAGCGUGCAGGAUGACGGCCCUAUGGGUUGUAAACUGCUUUUAUAAGGGAAUAAAGUGAGUCUCGUGAGACUUUUUGCAUGUACCUUAUGAAUAAGGACCGGCUAAUUCCGUGCCAGCCGCCGCGGUAA
rnacentral:rRNA from 1 species